UGUUAUUGCAGCUUAUUCAUCUAUAAAAAAAAGGAGAUGGAUUGAUGUUACUCUAAACCUCCAUCUGCCUUUUGUAAUCUAUGGUUUUCACCGUAGGAUAGAGGGUCCAGCAGUUUAAGACCAUUGCCAGGUGUUCUUCAGAAUUCUCUGCCCCACACCUUCUAGCACUAUGAAAGUUAGUCAGCAAGGAGACAAUUUCCUGGUCAGUUCAAGAUUGAUUUCUCUAUGUCCUGCAGCCAAAGUUGGUGGUGUCUUCAGCAACAGGGUCCUAACAUCUAGUUAUGGGGGGAAGCCUGUCUUCUUUUGAGUGCCUCCAGGACCAGCCAGAAGAGAGUAUCUGAGAAACCUCCUUCCCCAAUACUUAUUUACUGAAGUCAAUCAUUACUACCCUUCUAUCUCUGCAGCUGUGGUUAGGAAAUUUUUUCUGGAAGACUGGUGCUCUAUUGGGCAACUUCUGAGCAAGCAUGGAUUAUUAUUAUUAGAUGUUUAGACUGUUCUGGAUGGAGCUGAAGCCUGCACAGGACUUUGCCUUACUGUCUAUCUUCCCUCCCUUUACCUUAAACUAUCCACUUGUUUUCUUUCUUCUUCCUGCAAGUCACUGUGAUCCCUAAGAGUUCUCUGUGUUCAUGGAUGUCUUCAUGUUAUUAUCAUUUUGACAAAAUUGAUGAUAAAUAGAGAACUGGAAGGUCAUAUUGACUCAACUACAGAGGAAGAAGGGGGAGAAACUGAGCAAGAACCAGAACCUUCGUCCAGCGAUGGAUGGAGAUAGAGACAGAGACCCACAUUGGAGCACUGGACUGAGCUCCCAAGGUCCACUUGAAGAGCAGAAGGAGGGAGAAGAUGAGCAAGGAAGUCAGGACAGUGAGGGGUUGGUCUACCCUCUAAGACAGUGUGCCUGAUCUAAUAGGAGCUCACCAAAUCCAGCUGGACUAGGACUGAACAAGCAUGUGAUCAAACCUGACUCUCCGAAUGUGGCUGACAAUGGGGGCUGACUGAGAAGUCAUUAAUAAUGGCACUGAGACUUGUUUCUACUGCAUGUACUGGCUUUUGGGGAUCCUAGUCUGUUUGGAUGCGCACUUUCCUAGGUCUGGAUGGAGGGGGAGGGCCUUGGACUUCCCACAGGGCAGGGUACCCUGCCCUCUCUUAAGGAGGGA